CUGCAGCCCGAGUGGUGAUCGAUUUUAUUGAGCCUAAAGCGUCCGUAGCCGGACUAGUAAACCCUUGGGUAAAUUGGGCAGCUUAACUGUCCAAAUUCCGAGGGGUCUGCUAGUCUUGGGACCGGGAGAGGUCAGAGGUACUCAAGGGGUAGGGGCUAAAUCCUGUAAUCCUUUGGGGACCACCAGUGGCGAAGGCGUCUGACUAGAACGGAUCCGACGGUAAGGGACGAAACCCUGGGGCGCGAACCGGAUUAGAUACCCGAGUAGUCC
rnacentral:rRNA from 1 species